UACGUAGGGGGCAAGCGUUAUCCGGAUUUACUGGGUGUAAAGGGAGCGUAGACGGCAAUGCAAGUCUGAAGUGAAGGCUCGCAGCUCAACUGCGGAACUGCUUUGGAAACUGUAUAGCUUGAGUACCGGAGGGGUGAGCGGAAUUCCUAGUGUAGCGGUGAAAUGCGUAGAUAUUAGGAGGAACACCGGUGGCGAAGGCGGCUCACUGGACGGUAACUGACGUUGAGGCUCGAAAGCGUGGGGAGCAAAC
rnacentral:rRNA from 1 species